UGCCCAACUGGGCAGAGGGAUCCUCCUCCCAUCAUCUGUGCUGCUUCUUUCUGCUCACUUACAACAAGCUGAAGUACUUGGUGGAACUGGAAGCUUGUGGGUGGAGCUCCAUGGACUCUAGUUUAUUGUUGAUGUAGAGGGCAACACUCCCUACUGCACCUACUGAAGAGUCUAUAACCAUCUAUCCCUCCACUCCAAUCACGAGAUCCAUCCCCCCAUGUCUCAGUGAUGCCAAUGAUGACAUAACCCUGUACACUUUCAAACUUGCAAUGAUCCUGGGGUAAAAUACAAAUAUUUCAGGCAGAGGGAAGAGAUGCUGCUGAGCCACUGGUGUGAGCUGCAACAACACAUGGCUGCCUUUAAUGGGCCACAAAUGAGGAGAGGCUCCGUGCAAACAAAGGUGUGGUGUAGAAAGGCUGAUGCAGAAAGGGAGGAUUUCUGAAUCAUCCCCAUUUAUGUACUUGAUUUUGAAAUCAAACUGGCCAGUAGGCACUGGCACCAUUGUUCUGGUCAAUGAAUUUAAAGCUUCCUGCAUCCUUUGACCAUGCAGGCACGCUGAGGGCAGUGCAAGACACCUGACACCUAAGCACCCUAGCUCUCAAGGCUUUGCUGGUGCCAAACCCUUAUUGUUUGCUCAUCUGACUCACUCCCAAACCCCAUCAUGAUAGAAGGAGGAAAUCAAGGGUUAAACCUGCCUGAAAGGAUUCAUGCCCUGCCAGGACAGUAAGGCCAGUAUGUUAUCUAACAUAUAUGCAAAAUAGUCUUGUUUUCUUCGAAGUCUGUAUCAUUAAGUGAUAAUUCUCUUCAUCCACAGCUCUAAGCAGCCUAGACAAUAAUUAAAUAUUCUCUCCCUAAUCUUGUCAAAUUGUGUGGCAAGAGACACAGAAGGCUCCUCGACAAAGGAGGAAACAAAUCUUUUCAUUGAAAAUUCUGAACAGUCAAAAGAUUUCAAAAAAAAUAAGUUGGUCACCUGUAAGUUUAUAGAGUACCAAGUGUUGGCUUACAAAAACAGUGCAUUCAUCUCAGCUGGAACUGUUCUAAAAUAAUUAUUCCUCUUGCC